GAUGAAGAACGUAGCGAAAUGCGAUACGUAAUGUGAAUUGCAGAAUUCAGUGAAUCAUCGAAUCUUUGAACGCAUAUUGCGCUCUCUGGUAUUCCGGAGAGCAUGCUUGUUUGAGUAUCAGUAAACACCUCAACUCCCUUUUCUUUUUUGAAAUUGGAGCUGGACUUGAGUGAUCCCAACGCUUUCUUCCAAGAAAGUGGCGGGUUGCUUGAAAUGCAGGUGCAGCUGAACUUUUCUCUGAGCUAUAAGCAUAUCUAUUUAGUCUGCCUAAAAAACAGAUUAUUACCUUUGCUGCAGCUAACAUAAAGGAGACUAGUUCUUGUGCUGACUGAUGCAGGAUUCACAGAGACAGCUUCGGCUGACUUUGUAAACUCGAUCUCAAAUCACGUAAGACUACCCGCUGAACUUAAGCAUAUCAAUAAGCGGAGGA
rnacentral:misc_RNA from 1 species